UCAUCACUAUUCACUUAUGUUAGUUUGUUAAUCUGGACCUCUGAAGCAAGAAAUUUGAUGUAACUGGACCCUCCUGAGUUUUAGUUGAAUAACCCUGCAUUAAGCACUUGGACGGUCUUUAUCACUCAGCACUUGCAUACUGAAGUUGGAUGGUCUUUAACAAUAAGAUGUGACUUACUUUGGUUUUUUAUUUGUUUAUAAGGCCCUCAUCGGUCAGCUGCCUCUCCACAUGGCGCAAAUUUAUUGUGUCAUCUCUCUCCACCAUGCGUGCCUCCAUGAUCACCUCUUCUAUCUGGCCUGUGAAACAGAAGACCAGUGCAUAUGCGGUUACAUCUGGGAGUAUGUAAUAGGCUAUUUCGAACAGAGCCAGGGUCUGCAGUCUUCCUUACCUGGUGAGGGACCAGCUCAUCGUAUCCUCUAGUGCUACCUGUGGCACAGCAGGCCAUAGACACGAUAGCAGAGGUAGGAAGGCAGUCGUACACAGACCGAACCUUUAAUACACGAAGAAGAUAAUACAAUAUAUUUUCAUAAGUGAACGCACUGAAUGAUUACUGUAAAGCAUAAUUCAACUGUUUUGAUAUGAACAAAGCCAUGCAGAGUGGAUGGAAAUGGUGCAUUCUUGGAAAAUUUGCUUCUGAUAAUGUUAGUGGUAGAUCUGAAAAAAGAAGUUUUCUUUAGGGACUAUUUUGCCCUACAGCAGCCUGCAUGUACCACUCCGACAUGAACAGACUUCAAAACUGACAUUUCUGAGGAAUCAGGUAAUUAUUAUAUCAUAUAUGUAACCAUUUAAUGAAAUAACUUCUUGUGAUGUAGCUUUUAGAGGCAUUAAACAUUAGACUUCUGGUUCCUAUCGCCACCACCGUGAAUAAUUCUGUUUAUAAUGCCCCAUUUCACAUUAAACCACUCUGAAUGACUUUGUUUUAGGUAUACCUAAAAACCCUGACCUCCUGUGAUUAUAGUACUAAUUACAGGCAUACAACCUUCCUGACCAACCUUGAUGGGGCACUCAUUGUCAUGGGUAAUGUCCAGAAACAUAGCGUGUGCAAUGCCUGGAACCAAAGGCCUGAUGUUGGGCUGGAUAAAAGAGCCGACAGGCUCUCCCCCAAAGCGGUAAACCAGCCUGCCUUGUUCAUGGCUGUCUCCAGCACUCAUGGCCUCUAGAGCAAAACACAGCAAUAGUCAAUUUUUAUUAGCUCAUCAGUCAGCUGACCAACUAAGUGGAGGUGCAGAGCAGAUGUACUGAUGCAUGAAUAACACAGUACUGUGCAAAAAUCAGAGAUUACCUGUCAUUGAUUUACUUUCCACUCAAAACGGCAGUUAAAGAAUUCAUUUUUCAAGAGAGAUUUCAAGAGGAGAUUAUAUAUAAAAUAAUGCUCUUGCAGAAGGAAGGGGGAAGGUCAAUAAAUGGUCAAUAAAGGAAAAUAAAGUAAAACAGGAGUUUCCAAAACUGGACUUCAAAAAAUGAUUAAAAGAUAUAGAGAAAAUAAGACUCCUAACAACCAUGCAAGAUCUGGUAGACCACCAAAUCUGUCAGAUAAACAGUACAUAAAGUUUUCGUCUUUUUGAGAGAGGAAAAGAUCAAGCUCUACUCUUAAUUUAGAUCUGAAAAAGUUCACACGUGUUUCUGCCAAUCCGUCCACUGUGACAAGACAACUUGACAGUCUGAAAGGAUGUGAAGUUGUCAAGAUGCAGUUACUGAGAAAAGAACACAGAAA